CCUACGGGUGGCAGCAGUUUCGAAUCAUUCACAAUGGGCGAAAGCCUGAUGGUGCGACGCCGCGUGAGGGAUGAAGGUCUUCGGAUUGUAAACCUCUGUCACCGGGGAAGAAACGCUUCAAGUUAAUAGUUUGAAGCCUGACUUAACCCGGAGAGGAAGCAGUGGCUAACUCUGUGCCAGCAGCCGCGGUAAUACAGAGACUCCAAGCGUGUAUCGGGUGCGCAGGGCGCCAAGGGUGCGCGGGCGGCAAGCCCGGAGCUUAACUCCGGAAUUGCUCCUCAAACUACAUUGCUAGAGCAUUGGAGAGGGUAGCAGAAUUCACGGUGUAGCAGUGAAAUGCGUAGAUAUCGUGAGGAAUACCAGAGGCGAAGGCGGCUACCUGGACAAUUGCUGACGCUCAGGCACGAAAGCGUGGGGAGCAAAAGGGAUUAGAUACCCCAGUAGUC
rnacentral:rRNA from 1 species